UACGUAGGUGGCGAGCGUUAUCCGGAAUGAUUGGGCGUAAAGGGUGCGUAGGCGGCCUGCUAAGUCUGGAGUGAAAGGUACCGGCUCAACCGGUACAGGCUCUGGAAACUGGCGGGCUAGAGAGCAGGAGAGGGCGGUGGAACUCCAUGUGUAGCGGUAAAAUGCGUAGAUAUACGGAAGAACACCAGUGGCGAAGGCGGCCGCCUGGCCUGUUGGUACUGACGCUGAGGCACGAAAGCGUGGGGAGCAAAUAGG
rnacentral:rRNA from 1 species